GGACGGGUGAGUAACACGUAGGUAACCUGCCCUGAAGCGGGGGACAACCCAGGGAAACUUGGGCUAAUACCGCAUAAGACCACGAUCUGAAAUGAUUGGGGUAAAAGCAGCAAUGCACUUCAGGAGGGGCCUGCGGCCUAUCAGGUAGUUGGUAAGGUAAUGGCUUACCAAGCCUAAGACGGGUAGCCGGACUGAGAGGUUGAACGGCCACACUGGAACUGAGACACGGUCCAGACUCCUACGGGAGGCAGCAGUGGGGAAUUUUGCGCAAUGGGCGAAAGCCUGACGCAGCGACGCCGCGUGGAGGAUGAAGGUCUUCGGAUUGUAAACUCCUUUUGUCGGGGAAGAUAAUGACGGUACCCGAUGAAUAAGCCACGGCUAAUUCUGUGCCAGCAGCCGCGGUAAGACAGAGGUGGCAAGCGUUGUUCGGAAUUACUGGGCUUAAAGGGCGCGUA
rnacentral:rRNA from 1 species